GUUAACGGUUUAACGGUGCGCGCGGGGUUUGUUCUUACCCUCUGACAGCUCGAGCUCCAACUCCGCCAGCCGGGCGCGAACGUCCAGUGGUAACGGCGACGCCUCACGCUCUGCCAUUAGGUUAUACGGUAGAAAAAUCUCUCCGUCCUCCCUCAGUUGCCGUCUCCUCCUCUCCUCCAGCAGAGAAAGAGAGCUAUUCCGCGGAUCCUCCUAGCGGUGCGUUGAGGCAGCUAGCGGUGCGUAGAGGGGAACAAAGAGAAAAAUAUGUUUUGUCGGUUUACCGGGGCCCCGGCAUGGCCUCGCUAGUCUACCUCUUCUCCGUUAUUAUCGUCUCUGUGAUGAGGGACCACUGAGGGUCGAUCGGUGGGUCUCGAGGCUGCUUGCCCGGCGAUGCGGUGCUGAUGAUGAUACUCGCGCUGUUUGGAGCUACUGUCACGUGACGCACGGUGGAGCGGAGAGGAGCGCCACCGGGAGGGACCGAGGGUGGCGCGGCGUUGGAGGCAGGGGUAUUAUGUCCAAACCACUGCACCACACCCUCUUGAUACACACAUUGAUAUAUAGGCCUAUAUCAUUGAAUUAUGGCAACAAUGUACUGGUGGAUCUCUGGUCUUCAUGAAGCACAAGGAAUUGCCAAGGAGCACACAAGCCGGGCUUUCUGCCUACCACUCGGCUUAGCUUUGGCAGCUCAGCUCAAGUCUUCAAAUCUCAGGUCUAAUGGUGCUGAAGUAGGCUAAACAAACAAGCUGUAAUAGCUGCCAUCAGAGAAUCAGCACCACAGAAGCGGACAGCGACAGAAUCGGAACUCAGCACCACGUGACAUUGGAAAGCGACGCUCUCAGGUGCAGACACUCACCACUUGAACAAUCUGACCGCAGGCCACUACUGAAGAAAAGGUUCCUGCACGAAUGUAGUUUGCUAGACUGAUUCAGCCAGCCAUACUGACUUCUUCAUCCAAACUUUAGAAUUGUAAGUAAUAGGGAAUAAAUUACAAUGCGAAAAUGAUUGUUUACUGUUUAUUAUUAAGGCCAUUUGUUUAAUAACAGUCAAAUUAUUUACAUCUGUACAGAAAAAAAACAUUCACCUUUUUAAAUCAAUUCUGUAUCUACCCACAUUUACAGCCUUAAUCUAUCUCAAACACAAGAAAUCUGAACUGAAAACUAUUUACUUCCCACCACCCCUGAUUCCAUAUCAAGUUGUUAACUCAAGUAACUCUAACAAUGUUGUAUCUGUAUGCAAACUUAUCAAUA